rnacentral:rRNA from 1 species
UACGUAGGGGGCAAGCGUUGUCCGGAUUUAUUGGGCGUAAAGAGCGUGUAGGCGGCCUGGAAGGUCAGCUGUGAAAACUCGAGGCUCAACCUCGAGACGUCGGUUGAAACCACCUGGCUAGAGUCCGGAAGAGGAGAGUGGAAUUCCCGGUGUAGCGGUGAAAUGCGCAGAUAUCGGGAAGAACACCCGUGGCGAAAGCGGCUCUCUGGGACGGUACUGACGCUGAGACGCGAAAGCGUUGGGGAGCGAACGAGG